GUAGCCUAAUGGUUAUAGUAGUUGACUUGAAAUGAAUAGCCCUAGGUUCGAUUCCCAGGAACU
rnacentral:tRNA from 1 species